GCUUAUAUCAAAUUAAACAAGAUAAAAGACAUAAGAUUAAUCUUGAUGGAAUCAUCAUUUUUGUUCCAAAAUAUUACAAUUUAUGAUUGAUUUUUUUUUCUUAAAUCCUACAUCCAAUAAUACCUUUAAAAAGUACAUUAUUAUAAACCCCACUUUUCAUAGAUCUACACUUGCCAUUUCCACCCUUCUCUAAUUUUCUUAUUUUUUUUAUAAAUAUAAAAUUCUAUUCCUAUACUAAAAAUAAACAAGUAAACAUAAUUUUGACCCAAAUAUUACAUCAUGAAAAACAAAAAUAAAAUAAAAUAA
rnacentral:misc_RNA from 1 species